rnacentral:rRNA from 1 species
AACGAACGCUGGCGGCAUGCCUAACACAUGCAAGUCGAACGAGACCUUCGGGUCUAGUGGCGCACGGGUGCGUAACGCGUGGGAACCUGCCUUUAGGUUCGGAAUAACUCAGAGAAAUUUGAGCUAAUACCGGAUAAUGUCUUCGGACCAAAGAUUUAUCGCCUUUAGAUGGGCCCGCGUAAGAUUAGCUAGUUGGUGGGGUAAAGGCCUACCAAGGCGACGAUCUUUAGCUGGUCUGAGAGGAUGAUCAGCCACACUGGGACUGAGACACGGCCCAGACUCCUACGGGAGGCAGCAGUGGGGAAUAUUGGACAAUGGGCGAAAGCCUGAUCCAGCAAUGCCGCGUGAGUGAUGAAGGCCUUAGGGUUGUAAAAGCUCUUUUUAACCCGAGAAUGAUAAUGACAGU